rnacentral:rRNA from 1 species
UACGUAGGGACCGAGCGUUGUCCGGAAUCAUUGGGCGUAAAGAGCGUGUAGGCGGCCACUUAAGUCCUGCGUGAAAUCUUGCGGCUCAACCGCAAGCGGUCGUGGGAAACUGGGUGGCUAGAGUGCGGGAGAGGAGAGUGGAAUUCCUGGUGUAGCGGUGGAAUGCGCAGAUAUCAGGAAGAACACCCGUGGCGAAGGCGGCUCUCUGGAACGCAACUGACGCUGAGACGCGAAAGCUAGGGGGAGCAAACAGG